UACGGAGGGGGCUAGCGUUGUUCGGAAUUACUGGGCGUAAAGCGCGUGUAGGCGGCCCGGAAAGUCGGAUGUGAAAGCCCUGGGCUUAACCCAGGAAGUGCAUUCGAAACUCCCGGGCUUGAGUUCUGGAGAGGAAGGCGGAAUUCUCGGUGUAGAGGUGAAAUUCGUAGAUAUCGAGAGGAACACCGGUGGCGAAGGCGGCCUUCUGGACAGUGACUGACGCUGAGACGCGAAAGCGUGGGGAGCAAACAGG
rnacentral:rRNA from 1 species